ensembl:lncRNA
AGAUGAGACUGAGAGAAAAAAGAAAAAGAGAAGAUGAUGGAGAUGAGAGAGGAAGAGCAGAUCAUGGAGCCUCUCAAUAUUUCCUGGAAGUUAGCAUUAAAUACUAGCAGCACAGUAGAAUUGCAGCAGAACAUACCAUUUGUGAUGUACUUUUAAAAGGUCCAGGGGUGCAUCAUGGUGCAGGGGGCCUCCUAAUUUUGACCACAAGACGAUGCACAAAGAUGGUGUGAAUAACAUCUGGUCCCAGUCUAGUCUUGGCAUUUUUGGUCCUGACAAACUGGUCUGCUUCAAAAUGUGCCUGCAGAGUGACUUGAGUUUACUUCCCACACACAACUCCUUUUUGUCUACUCACAUACUGUAAUGGUUAAAUGCACAGUAUUAGGGAACACUUUCCACAUAGUUAAACAACACCUAAGAACAUGACACAAUGGCCUAAAGACUCUCUGCAAUGAGACAGCACCGUCACCAGGAGUCUCGGCUCCCUGGAUUUUGCAAGUCUUUUGCUGUUCCUUAUUAUUAAAUAAACCUCACAUUAAACUUUCC